GAUGAACGCUGGCGGCGUGCUUAACACAUGCAAGUCGAACGGAAGGGCCCAAGCUUGCUUGGGUACUCGAGUGGCGAACGGGUGAGUAACACGUGGGUGAUCUGCCCUGCACUUCGGGAUAAGCCUGGGAAACUGGGUCUAAUACCGGAUAGGACGAUGGUUUGGAUGCCAUUGUGGAAAGUUUUUUCGGUGUGGGAUGAGCUCGCGGCCUAUCAGCUUGUUGGUGGGGUAAUGGCCUACCAAGGCGUCGACGGGUAGCCGGCCUGAGAGGGUGUACGGCCACAUUGGGACUGAGAUACGGCCCAGACUCCUACGGGAGGCAGCAGUGGGGAAUAUUGCACAAUGGGCGCAAGCCUGAUGCAGCGACGCCGCGUGGGGGAUGACGGCCUUCGGGUUGUAAACUCCUUCCGCUAGGGACGAAGCGUUUUUGUGACGGUACCUGGAGAAGAAGCACCGGCUAACUACGUG
rnacentral:rRNA from 1 species